rnacentral:rRNA from 1 species
UACAGAGGUCCCAAGCGUUGUUCGGAUUCACUGGGCGUAAAGGGUGCGUAGGCGGUCGGGUAAGUCUGAUGUGAAAUCUCACAGCUUAACUGUGAAACUGCAUUGGAUACUAUCCGGCUCGAGGAAUGGAGGGGAGACUGGAAUACUUGGUGUAGCAGUGAAAUGCGUAGAUAUCAUGGGGAACACCGAAUGCGAAGGCAGUUCACUGGCGCACUCCUGACGCUGAGACACGAAAGCGUAGGUAGCGAAUGGG